AUCCGCAAAGAUGAAUUGGUGAAGAUGUGGAUGGCUCAAGGUUACCUUAAAAAGACUCCAAAUAGAGAUAUAGAGUUUAUUGGAGAGAAGUACUUUCAAGUCUUAGCACCACAUUCUUUCUUCCAAGAUUUGAGAUGAAUGAGUUUGGAGGUAUGAAAUUCAAGAUGCAUGAUAUAGUACAUGAUUUUGCCUAAUUUAUGACAAAAAAAAAUGAAUUUAUAACCAUGGAUGUCAAUAAUCUUGGUGAACCAACAACGAAGACUUCAUACGAAAGGGUUUGUCAUUUAUGCAAGAAGCUUUCAGAGGAGAUCUUUUUUUCCCAUGCCCAUUCACAAAGCAAAAGGUCUUCGCAUCCUUUUAAUUGACACUAUAGACCCUUCACUUGGAGUUACACUACUUGAUGUAUUCAAACAAUUGGCAUGCAUCAAGUCAUUGAAUCUGUCAGGGUCUUUAAUCAAAGAAAUACCUUGUUAAGAAAUACCAAACAAGGUAGGGAAAUUAAUACAUUUGAGACACAUCAAUUUGGUACAUUGUUUAUUUUUGUUGUCCAUGCCAAAAACCAUGUGUAAUUUAUGCAAUCUGCAAUACCCAGAUGUUUUUUGCUGUAAACUAGGACACUCGAGUGCAAAAUCAUAAUUUUGCAUGAUUUUGACUGAAUUUACUGGGUUUGCACGAGUCAAGUUUGAUUUUACUGGUUUUCGAGUUUAUAAUAUGAGUUUGCAUGUUAGAUACAUGUUGACUCGUAUAAUUUUAUGAGUCAACUCGUGAUUUUAACAACAAUAAUUGAGCUAUACCGAGACCUUCUCUUAAGUUAUCACCAUAGCACUAGUUUAGAAAUGGUCAAUACAUUAACUUGAUGUAAAAAUCACCUUCUUUCAUGGUUUAAUUUCAGAAGACAUACAUAUGAAACAGCCUCCACAAAUGGCAAAUUCACAAUAUCCAUCACAUGUGUGCUUUAUGGUCUUAAACAAGCACGUUGUGCUUGGUUUGAUUAGUUUAGUACAAUCCUCCUUAGAUAUGGUUUUUUUUGCAGCCUUGCAGAUCCAUCUCUAUUUAUCUUUCUCUAAUUCUGAUACAUUAAUCUUUCUUUUUUUUGUUGAUAAUAUACUUCUUACAAGAUCUUAUGUUCUUCUAUUUACAAACUUCAUUCAGCUCUUGGGUUCAGAAUUUGCAAUGAAAGAUAUUGAACCAAUUCAUCAUUUCUUAGGAUCGAGGCCACUCACACAUUUGAAGGUCUCUAUAUUUCCCGAUCACAAUAUGCACUUACCAUCCUUAAACGAGAUUGUAUGGUGAAUUGUAAACCCAUGAGCACAUUACUUAAAGCUAAGACUAUGACCCCAAUAAAUAACACAUUAUUGGAAGAUCCAUACUCUUUUUGUGGACUUCUUGAUACCUUAUAGUAUCUAACACUCACAAAACUUAAUCUUUCAUACAGUGUUCACUUUGUCUCUCAAUUUAUGUAUGCUCCAACUAUUAACAUUUAAAAAUAGUUCAUCGUAAUUUAAGAGAUGUCAAAGGCACUAUUGAUAUUUGUCUAUAUUUUACUUCUCAUUUUACACUUGAUCUUUGUGCUUUCUCAAAUGCAGAUUAGACAAACUACCCUACCACAAGACAUUUCACCACUAGAUACUACAUGUUCCUUGGCAGAAACUUCAUUUCUUGGCGUGCAAAGAAAUAACAUACUGUCGCAAAAUAUAAUCAUUGUCAACACAACAACAAAACUUAUAUGACUAACCUUUAUUCUAAAAGAUCUUUACCUUCCACUCUUUUCUCUACCAAUCCUCUACUAUAACAAUCUCAGUGCUCUACAUAUGAAGAUCAAUCCAGUGUUUCAUGUUCAGAACAAACACACUGAGUUGAAUUACCAUUUUGUGUGUAGACGAGUUGCACUUGGACUUCUCAUCACUAAACAUGUCUCCGCUAAUAAUCAAGUAACUGACAUCUUCACCAAACUUGUGUCAAAAGUUGCACAGAGCUACUUUAAGGGCAAACUUUGCCUCUAGCCCCAGGCAUAGUUAGGAUAUUAACAGUAACUAAAGUGACAAAGAGACCCGAAACAACUAGAGUGACCAGGAUGAACACUCCCACAAAUCAGCCUAUGUUAGUAGAGAGAAGUUGACAGAUAAAGUAGUUCCAAUAACAAUAAACUCAAUUCGAGAUGGUAACACGUGAAGGAGUCUUAGUGGCAAUAAACUCACCCCAAUAUGGUAAAUCAUGUUAACAAGGAAGCUGCCUUAUAAAAAAGCAUGUCAUGGAAACAAAUCAACUCGGAUCACAUUAGUUAACAUUCAAAUCAGUCAAAAAAGCAAAUCACGUCUUAGAGAAUUUAUUUGCACAUAUUUUAUAUAAGUUGAUACCUUACUGUUAUAUUAAAUACCAGCUACUCUAGAACUGUAAAAAUAUUGUUGUGUCUUAAUUUCCCCUUCAACAAAAGAUUUAUCUUCUUAUCAAACACCUUUGUCUUUCAAUUUUCUUUAGCUAGAGCAUAAAAAAUGUCUUUGACCAAACCAGAUUAUUUUUUAUGACAAUUUGAGACUAAAAUUAUGAUUUGGCAAAACAUAUUCAACAACUAAUAAAUUAAAACAUGCUGCUGCAGAAUUUCUUCCCAGAAUAUUUUGAAGAUGCAUGGUGAUUAGUAAUAAUUACCCAAAUCUGUGGUGUGGCAGAGUGAAUUUAUGACAUCUUCAGCAUUGGCGAAAAGAAAGUGGAUAAUAUAAAUAAAU